GUACGUGUAUACAAUUAAUAGAACUUUAUUAUUAUUAAGAUUGUAUGGCCAAAGUCGCGCGAACGCGUACUUUAAUUUAUUCUUGGAUCAUAAUCAUAUCUCGUGAACGUGUACAGAAUCACGAUAAUCGAUUAAAAUAUUCCUAAAGCAUUCUACGAAUUUUCAAGUUUGUCUUCCUAGGUUUGGGGUUGCUGUGGAGGUCUAGCUAUUAUGAACAUUAUUUGAAAGAUGAUAUCUUGGUCACUAGGUAUAUUGCACAAGGAUGCAUUCUUCAUUUUUUAAAGCUCCUAGAAUAAAUACGUGACCACUGUGACCUUGAUUACAUUUUAGGGAUGAUAGAGUAUAUGGAGAGGAAAUUAAGCUAAAUCUAACUCUAAAUUAUUUACAAUUUAAGGUUGUUCAACAGAAAGUCACGGAAGAGAAAGGAAAUUAAAUUCAAAACUAUUACAUCUUGUUACUACAGGCCAAAUGGGAUCCCAAAUCGAAAUCCUUGUGUGGGGCUUGGGCCUGGUAGAUUUCACGUGGCCAGACCCUACAUAAACCUCCAGUGCUCUUAAUUUACAAGAGAACCCGAGAUGGGCCUGUCAUGGCACCCAGGCCUAAUAACAAAACUCAAACUGUAAAGAUCAGUGAAACACAAUGAAGACUGCCAUCUUCAAGAUCACACAUACAAUUGAUUUCUACAUUGUAAACUGGAUCGCAAUACUAAAAGAAAUUUAGCUCUUAUGUGAUUCAAAAAAUUAUUACAUUAAGAUUACUGUUCUACCAAAUACAAUUAUGAAUUCUUAAUAGAUCUCUUAGAACCAAAUGUAUCCCAAAUCUUCGUUUCUAAUCAUCCAUGCCUAUCACAAUGAAUUUAGAAUUGCUCAAUUUAACUUUGAGACCUCUAACUAAUGCAUUUGACCAACUGGUGGUCAAAUUCAUGAGCUAGUUGAAUCUGCAACACCAACCAACAUAUGAUAAAAAUAUUUAUAUUUCUAGUUCAAGUAAUAAACAAACUCAGUUUUGAUCUGGCAACUUGAUAUCACUAAUUUCUAUUAACAAACAACAGAUUAACAAGUAGAAAUCGAAAUACAAAUCACAGAAUCGAACUCAAUUUUAUAUAUGUUUACUGUUAAUCGAGUCCACAGCAGGCUGUAGGUGAUAGUUACAUCAACUGUUUUCAAUAUUAAUUCAGAAUUAUGAUCCAUAUGCAAGAAGCAUUCAACAAAGGGAAAAAUCAUUGCAGACUACAUUAAUUGAGAUUAAACAAGUACCUUAGCAGCAGAAAAAUAAAUGGCAAGUUGCCAAAUAAAGGCUGAAAUCAACUAGAGUUAGAGCUCAGCUAAUCGAGAAAACAGCAAAUCCAAGCAGAGAAACAACUUCAAAUUUGACCCAAAAUCAGCUUGAAACCCAGAAAAAUGUUAAAGUGAAUUGACAGAAUUUAGGAAGCACUUUUAAAAUAUAUUUUUUUGUUUUUGUUGUGAUUUUCUGGAGUAUUUUUGUUCUUCAGAACUGAAAUUUUUAUCUCAAAUUUAGCUCCCUCUAAACGUGAGAGAGAGAGAGUGUAUUGAUAGUGAAUUGGUGAGAAUAAUCAGUGAAUGCGUGAGUAAUCAUGAGGGAAUGUACUUCUCUUAUAGCAGAAUGGGAGCUACAUUUUUCUGUUAUUUCUCUUUCUUUUUAGUACCUUUUAUUUUCUUUAUUUUACUCCCCCAGUCCCUCAUUUGACCUAAUUUCACCGUUUUAUUGCUUUUCAGUCCUUUCUCUUCCCUCCUAGAAGCUUCUAAAUCAGUUAACAGCAAAUAUUCCCUCAGUUUAAUUGCCUUAAAUACCCCAUUUUCUCCCCUGUAUUUACUAUUCUUUCAUAUCUUACCUUGCUCCUAAGAUCAACUCGAAUUGGGACUACAUCUUGGCCUGUUUCCU
rnacentral:lncRNA from 1 species